rnacentral:lncRNA from 1 species
UUUUGUGUAUUUCCUCGAAUUUUACCUAUUUCGAAAUUUUUUGGGUUUUUCAAUCUCGCCUUUCCCCUUCUACUGCAAUUCAGAGUUUUGCUCCUCCCUUAUCUCAUCUUCCCAUUAAAUCAAAGCCCUAAUCGAUACCCAGUGGAGAAUCUCUCCAGUGAGACUGAGCUAUUUCCGGUUGUUAAUUUCUCUCCAAAUCCGGCCAAGGAUUUUGAGAUCUUUCUUCUCCGACUUAUUUGACUUUCAAUUAAUCAGGUAAAAACACCAAAUGUAUCUAUAUAAUAUAUUAUGCUGCAUGAACUUUUAUAUGGGUAUAUUUUUGGGUACUUCAUGGUUUAAGAUGUUUUUGCAGGCUUGGAUCUUAAUUCUUUAUCUAAUUUAUGAAAAAUACCAUCAUGUCCAUCUCUAUUAAGUUUCGGGAAAGACAAUUCAACAUUUUGGCGUCUCUACAUUCCUCUAUGCUGUUGUAAAUGUAAAACUCGUCAAUAUAACGAAGUCUCUAUCGUUGUGGAUUUUCAAUACGCAGACAUGUAGUAGUUGGUGAAAUAUUCAAGNAUGAUGAUAGAAGGGAUCUCUAUAUUUUGUGUUAUAUUAUGAAUGUUUGUCAUAUGUACAACAAUAACAGAUUAAGCUUAUUUCGAAUAAACUCGGGAUGGGCUAUAAUAAUGCUUUUUUGCUACUCACUCUGCAUGGAUG